GAUGAACGCUGGCGGCGUGCCUAACACAUGCAAGUCGAACGUUAGAGUAUAGCAAUAUGCUCAAAAGUGGCGAACGGGUGAGUAACACGUAGGUAACCUGCCGCGCAGAGGGGGAUAACGACUGGAAACGGUCGCUAAUACCGCAUGGUACUGUUUUGGGGGGACCCUGAACAGUUAAAACCUUGGUGCUGCGCGAGGGGCCUGCGUCCGAUUAGUUAGUUGGUGAGGUAAUGGCUCACCAAGGCGAUGAUCGGUAGCUGGUCUGAGAGGAUGAUCAGUCACACGGGAACUGAGACACGGUCCCGACUCCUACGGGGGGCAGCAGUGAGGAAUAUUGCACAAUGGACGCAAGUCUGAUGCAGCAACGCCGCGUGGAGGAUGAAGGUCUUUGGAUUGUAAACUCCUUUUUUCAGGGAAGAGAAUGGACGGUACCUGAAGAAUAAGUCACGGCUAACUACGUGCCAGCAGCCGCGGUAAUACGUAGGUGGCAAGCGUUAUCCGGAAUUACUGGGCGUAAAGCGCACGCAGGCGGUCUUUUAAGUUUGACGUGAAAGCUCCCGGCUUAACUGGGAGAGGUCGUUGAAGACUGGAAGACUUGAGGCAAUGAGAGGGGUGUAGAAUUCCCGGUGUAGUGGUGGAAUGCGUAGAUAUCGGGGGGAAUACCAGUGGCGAAAGCGGCACCCUAGCGUUAGCCUGACGCUCAUGUGCGAAAGCGUGGGGAGCGAACGGGAUUAGAUACCCCGGUAGUCCACGCUGUAAACGAUGAACACUAGGUGUAGGUGAUGUGAAAGUUAUCUGUACCGAAGCCAACGCGUUAAGUGUUCCGCCUGGGGAGUACGGCCGCAAGGCUA
rnacentral:rRNA from 1 species